CUCAAAAGCUGCACCUGCUAGUCUUUACUAGUUUUUUUUUUUUUCUAAAUAUCACUGAUUCAUGAAUAUAAAGAUGUAUGCAAAAAUAAAUAAACUGCAACUUCACAGGAGCCAAAAUGAGGAAAAAAAAUAAACUUGCACAAAUCCAAGUGUGAAAGAAUCUCUGCUGACAUUCCACAGAAAGGUAAGAUUAAAAUUACACGUGCC